CUGAUAGAGUUGGCCACAGUGGGAUGAUGUUAACGGUUGGACCGUUCCCCACACAGUCUGAACACUUCUGCAUCAAAGCCCGUGGGAUGCCGCAAGAAAACCGCCUAAAAAUUGCUUGAAAGCGAGGCGAUGGGCAACAAUUUGCUGUACAGAGUUGCCAUGUUCAUUGUAAAUCAUCGACAUUGCGCAUAUGUGGUGUCCAGGAAAUCAAGCAUGAUCUGCAUACGGCGCAUGGGGACAAUGUUAUCACCCUUGGACUUUAUACGGAACAUCGCGGCGACCACGAAGGCAGAAGUGCACCUGGAGCGUCCAUAUCAUUGCUUGAACGUGACCCACAUUCAUGAAGUGAAACGUCACUGCAUUUUUUUUUAAUCUCUUACCAAAUGAACAGGAGGCUAGACAGCUCUUUGUAGAUGUGCUGCAGUCGCUCCACAGGGUCCACUUUGAACCCAAGCACAUAGCCACCACUCUGCAAUAAACACAACAGUGGGGAGCAGGCACCUACAACAGCUGACAUAAGGGUUCA